GGUCGCAUAGCUCAGUUGGUUAGAGCGCACCGUUCACAUCGGUGAGGUCAAAGGUUCGAAUCCUUUUGCGACCACCU
rnacentral:tRNA from 1 species